AUGGGAACGCGAAGAACCUUACCUAGACUUGACAUCUCCUGAAUAGUGUAGAGAUACAUGAAGCCCUUCGGGCGAGGAAGACAGGUGGUGCAUGGUUGUCGUCAGCUCGUGUCGUGAGAUGUUGGGUUAAGUCCCGCAACGAGCGCAACCCUUAUUACUAGUUGCUACCAUUAAGUUGAGCACUCUAGUGAGACUGCCCGGGGUUAACCGGGAGGAAGGCGGGGAUGGACGUCAAAUCAUCAUGCCCCUUAUGUCUAGGGCUACACACGUGCUACAAUGGUGGGAACAAAGGAGAUGCAAUACCGCAAAGGUGGAGCUAAAACUCAAAAACCCCCAUACCCACGUUCGGAUUGUAGGCUGAAACUCGCCUACAUGAAGCUGGAGUUGCUAGUAAUCGCGAAUCAGAAUGUCGCGGUGAAUACGUUCCCGGGUCUUGUACACACCG
rnacentral:rRNA from 1 species